UAAAACAUCACGCUACGAUCAAUAGGAGCCGAGCAGUGUGAGUAGCUAGUUACAUAUAUACAUACUACAUUUUUGCACGACUUAGUCCAAUUUUUUUGUUAUCUAUAGUAUCUACACUACUAUCAGAUCUGUUUUUCUACUAAAUUAUAUCUAUUUACAAAUACUUUUUUAAGUACAUACUAAAACUCAGUAUACAAUUAUGUUAUAUUACAUUAUUACAUGUAAGUAGAUGACAAAUAAAAAAAAAAAACAAUUAUUUUUGGGUAAAAUUUGACCAAAAUACAUAUUAUAAUGUCAUGUCAUAUACUGGGUACAAUUGCAGAUUUUGAGAUACUACAAAAAAAUUCAAAAACAAGUAGUCAAAUUAAAAUAAUAAUAAUUGAAAAAAUAUCAGUGUAUCAAUAUACAUAAAAGGAGCUUUAAAUGUCUGUCCCUAUGUCCCUUUGUAUGCUUAAAUCUUUAAAACUACGCAACGGAUUUUGAUACGGUUUUUUUAAUAGAUAGAGUGAUUCAAGAGGAAGGUUUAUAUGUAUAAUACAUGCAUAAUAUAUCACUAUUGCACCCAUGCGAAGUUGGGGCGGGUUGUUCGUUUUGUAUAAAUAGUAGAAAAUGUUUUCAUUAUGUACUUUUAAUAAUACCUUAUGUAAGUGUUCCAAUAUAUGUAUAUGUACUUAGAAAAUCGGAAGAAAUUAUUUAUCUAUGUAUGUACCGUCAUCCCUUCAGCAGUUUUGACGUGAUUGAGUAACAAACAUACAUACAAACUUUCGCAUUUAUAAUAUUAGUUUGAUUAAGUACUUUAUAGGCCUAUAUAUAUACCUGUUUUAUUUAUAGUUAAUAUGUAAAAAAUAUCCUCCAAUGGGUAGGCAGAGGUGCACAUAUAAGGUGUUCUAAAAGUAUCUGCCACGGCUUUAAUGGGAGGUAGUGUUGUGUUUGAAGAUUACAAUAGUGAAUAUAAAUUAUUGAUUAUGAGUUUUUUUUUUCAUAUAAAAAAUCUGCAGUAGUUAGUCAAUGAACAAUUGACGCAUCGUGCGUAUUUGUGAACCACUUUAUGCAGAGUAGAGCCAAUGUUUAUUUAACUUCUUUAUGUUCUCAAAUUGAAUUAACUGGUCCGGAGUACGAAAUUUCUUUACUAUUGUAAUCUUCAAACACAACACUACCUCCCAUUGAAGCCGUGGCAGAUACUUUUAGAACACCUUAUACUGACCUGGGACUCGAACCCGAUAUACACAGUAUGAAACUAAGCAUUUUGACCUGUCUCAAUGAGACUUAUAAUAAUUUGCCCACCCAUCAUUUUCCAAACCGCUCUACUACACCCCAUACAAUUAAUGUAAACUAGUUAUUAAAAAAAACAUAAUUAUGUUAUUUCAUUCUGUACAUUCUCAUAAACUGCUGGGCCGAUUAUGAUGGAAUCGUGUAGGACGGAUAGAUCAAUAUUUGGGAAUGACAAUCAGCUACGUAUUACAUAUGCAAGGAAAAUGAAGCUCUGUUAUAAACUUAAAAACUGCUUGCCUGAUUUUGAUACGAUUUUAUCAGUGAUUCUAAAAGCCCUACUGUAUUAAGACACCACAGUCGUAUGCGCAGGUCAUGCUAUCUAUACAAUUGUAUGAAAGGUAUUUUACCAGGUGGCAACUUGGUGCCCAACUAGUUGCCGGCCACCAAGUCAAUACUAGUGCUUGUUCUGGUGUUUCUCUCUAGACACUAUAGUUGCCGCGACUGGUCCCAUGGUGGCCCCAUGAAAUAGUGUAGCCUUAAGUGUCGUGGGUCAAAUCUACCCUACCGUUAAAUCUGGUGUCCGUUUUUAGACACUGGUGGCCCAAUGAAAUAGAGUAACCUUAAGUGUGGUCCGUCAAAGGCACGCGUCCACAUCGUACGCAUCGCACGCAACGGAUUUUAGUUUGCCUUGUAUAGAAACUCAUACAACUGCGUCCACUGAUCCGCAUCGUACGGACCGCAUCAUCGGCAAUGCCUACAUGCGAUGCGUACUGAUGACGUCAUACGGAAUGCCGAUGCCAAAAAUCCGAGUGAAAGUGACAUCGGUAAUCCGAUUGUUAAUACUCGCGUCGGCAAUCCGAACGCUGUCGAUACAGUGGACGCAGUCAGUCCGAUGCGUACGAUGCGGGUCUGUGGACGCUUACCUCAAAUCUACCUUAGUGUUGUUGGCUUAACAUGGUGGCGCGACUCGGCAACUUUUUUUUCAAUCAUAACCAUUAUCAUGUCAUUCUCAAAAAUGCGACCUUAGGAAUGUUUAGUAAUAAAUAUAUGUAGUCAAUAUGCUUAGCUAUAAUGUAUUACGAUAAUAAAAUGUAAAUAUUUUUUAACAUUAAUAAAAAUAUAUGUUUUUAAAAAUG